CUUAGGGGUAAAGCACUGUUACGUAUGCGGGCUGGUAAUUCGGUACCAAAUCGUUGCAAACUAAGAAUACUAAGUGUACAGUCUACCAGUAAGACUGUGGGGGAUAAGCUCCAUUGUCAAGAGGGAAACAGCCCAGAGCACCAGUUAAGGCCCUUAAAUAAUUACUAAGUGAUAAAGGAGGUGGGAGUGCAUAGACAAUCAGGAGGUUUGCUUAGAAGCAGCAAUCCUUUAAAGAGUGCGUAAUAGCUCACUGAUCGAGUAAACCUGCGCCGAAAAUGAACGGGACUAAGUAAUUUGCCGAAACUGUGCGAUAUAUAUAUAAAUAUAUCGGUAGGGGAGCGUUCUGUUGUAGGUCGAAGUAUUAGCGUAAGCGGAUAUGGACGAAGCAGAAGUGAGAAUGUCGGCUUGAGUAACGAAAAUAUAGGUGAGAAUCCUAUACCCCGAAAACCCAAGGUUUCCUCCGGAAGGCUCGUCCGCGGAGGGUAAGUCAGGACCUAAGGCGAGGCUGAAAAGCGUAGUCGAUGGACAACGGGUUAAUAUUCCCGUACCAUUUUUUAUUGACAACGAGGGACGGAGAAGGUUAAGCCAGCCGGAUAUUGGUUACCGGUUUAAGCGUUCAAGAUGUUGAGAAGCGGCGAAAACGCUUUGAGUUGAGACGUGAGUACGAGACGCUAAGGCGUCGAAGUGGUGUAUAUCAGACUUCCAAGAAAAGCUUGCACUGUCAUAAAUAAAAAAUGCCUGUACCAUAACCGACACAGGUGGGUAGGUAGAGUAUACUAAGGGGCGCGAGAUAACUCUCUCUAAGGAACUCGGCAAAAUAACUCCGUAACUUCGGGAGAAGGAGUGCCUUAUUUAUAAGGCUGCAAUAACAAGAUCCAAGCAACUGUUUAUCAAAAACACAGGUCUCCGCUAAGUCGUAAGACGAUGUAUGGGGGCUGACGCCUGCCCAGUGCCAGAAGGUUAAAGAAGUUGGUUAGCAUUAGCGAAGCUGAUAACUGAAGCCCUGGUGAACGGCGGCCGUAACUAUAACGGUCCUAAGGUAGCGAAAUUCCUUGUCGGGUAAGUUCCGACCCGCACGAAAGGCGUAAUGAUUUGGAUACUGUCUCGGAGAGGGGCUCGGUGAAAUAGACUUGUCUGUGAAGAUGCGGACUACCUGCACCAGGACAGAAAGACCCUAUGAAGCUUUACUGUAACUUGAAAUUGAAAUUGGACUUUAGUCGCGCAGCAUAGGUGGGAGGCUUUGAUGAUAUUCUUGCGGGAGUAUCGGAGCUAUCAGUGAGAUACCACUCUUCUAAUGUUAGAUUUCUAACUUUGAACCAUUAUCUGGUCAGAGAACAGUUUCAGGCGGGCAGUUUGACUGGGGCGGUCGCCUCCUAAAUGGUAACGGAGGCGUACAAAGGUUUCCUCUGAACGGGUAGAAAUCGUAUCUAGAGUGUAAAGGCAUAAGGAAGCUUGACUGUGAGACCUACAAGUCGAACAGGGACGAAAGUCGGUCUUAGUGAUCUGACGGUACUGAGUGGAAAGGCCGUCACUCAACGGAUAAAAGUUACUCUAGGGAUAACAGGCUGAUCUCCCCCAAGAGUUCACAUCGACGGGGAGGUUUGGCACCUCGAUGUCGGCUCAUCGCAUCCUGGGGCGGUAGUACGUCCCAAGGGUUGGGCUGUUCGCCCAUGAAAGCGGUACGCGAGCUGGGUUCAGAACGUCGUGAGACAGUUCGGUCCAUAUCCGGUGUAGGCGUUAGAAUAUUGAGAGGAGCCUUCUUUAGUACGAGAGGACCGAGAAGGACAUACCUCUGGUGUACCAGUUAUCGUGCCAACGGUAAACGCUGGGUAGCUAUGUAUGGAGUGGAUAACCGCUGAAAGCAUCUAAGUGGGAAGCCCACCUCAAGAUGAGUAUUCUCAUCACGUAAGUGAGUAAGGUCACGGUAAGACUAACCGUUUGAUAGGCAUUAAGUGUAAGUACAGUAAUGUAUGUGCUGAGAUGUCCUAACAGACCGAGGACUUGAAUUU
rnacentral:rRNA from 1 species